rnacentral:rRNA from 1 species
GAUGAACGCUGGCGGCGUGCCCAAUACAUGCAAGUCGAGCGAAUGGAUUAAGAGCUUGCUCUUAUGAAGUUAGCGGCGGACGGGUGAGUAACACGUGGGUAACCUGCCCAUAAGACUGGGAUAACUCCGGGAAACCGGGGCUAAUACCGGAUAACAUUUUGAACCGCAUGGUUCGAAAUUGAAAGGCGGCUUCGGCUGUCACUUAUGGAUGGACCCGCGUCGCAUUAGCUAGUUGGUGAGGUAACGGCUCACCAAGUCAACGAUGCGUAGCCGACCUGAGAGGGUGGUCGGCCACACUGGGACUGAGACACGGCCCAGACUCCUACGGGAGGCAGCAGUAGGGAAUCUUCCGCAAUGGACGAAAGUCUGACGGAGCAACGCCGCGUGAGUGAUGAAGGCUUUCGGGUCGUAAAACUCUGUUGUUAGGGAAGAACAAGUGCUAGUUGAAUAAGCUGGCACCUUGACGGUACCUAACCAGAAAGCCACGGCUAACUACGUGCCAGCCGCCGCGGUAA